rnacentral:lncRNA from 1 species
AUAAUAGCCAAGUUCUAAUUAAUAGCAAGUUCGGCACUCUCUUUUUUUAGCUCCUCGCUGCUCAUAGAAGGACAUGUAACUCUAGCAUUGAACUUGGAAGGUCAUUCUUGGGCAACGACUUGAGCGCCUCACAAUUACUGAUCUCCAAAAUUUUGAGAGAAAUCGGGUGGCUCUUGGGCAACUCCUUGAUGGCAUAACAAUAGACAAUCUGCAAUUUUUUCAGAGAUCUCAGAAUGUUGUUCGACAACGACUUGUUGGCAUAAGAGUAGAUGAUAUGUAAUCCCCGGACUUGGUGUAUAGAUGAAGUAGAACUUACUGUUAAUCCAUGGCUGUAGUAGAACUUGUCCUCCAGCAGGGAAGAGCGAGGCGACCUCGAGCACAGCCAGAGCCAGCACGUCUGCUGGUGGAUGGCUCGGCCUGGGGCAGUGUGUUGGUAGCAUCGUGUGUGGCCGACGGUGGGAUGCAAGGUGGCUGUUUCCGAAGGAAUGCGUGGCGGUGGCAAGCAAUCUGAAUGCGAACAGAAGAUGAACUUCUAACCUGCAGUUAUUUCGCAUUUUGAUUUUCCUCUCACAAGUUAAACUUCUAACUUGUAGUUUUUUUGCACUUACUUAAUCUCACAUGUUAAACUUCCAACCUGUAGUUGACCAGAAGCCAUCCAAAGUCACGAACGCAAGAGAGCAUGAUCCUCUGCUCAUGUUAAUGAUACACAGGAAGACCAUCUGUAGAAAGCACGUCUCAUCAAUCUUUUAACCAAAAUAUGUGGCUUUCUUAGUAAGCAAACAAAGAAGAACAUCUUCAAGUAACAAAUUUGCUCCAAGCCGACGGGGAUAGCACCUCUUAUCAUUCCUUCAACCACGGAUAUCAGCAAGUUCAAACCAGAAAAACAUGGGU